AGAGUUUGAUCCUGGCUCAGGACGAACGCUGGCGGCGUGCCUAAUACAUGCAAGUCGAACGAACUCUGGUAUUGAUUGGUGCUUGCAUCAUGAUUUACAUUUGAGUGAGUGGCGAACUGGUGAGUAACACGUGGGAAACCUGCCCAGAAGCGGGGGAUAACACCUGGAAACAGAUGCUAAUACCGCAUAACAACUUGGACCGCAUGGUCCGAGCUUGAAAGAUGGCUUCGGCUAUCACUUUUGGAUGGUCCCGCGGCGUAUUAGCUAGAUGGUGGGGUAACGGCUCACCAUGGCAAUGAUACGUAGCCGACCUGAGAGGGUAAUCGGCCACAUUGGGACUGAGACACGGCCCAAACUCCUACGGGAGGCAGCAGUAGGGAAUCUUCCACAAUGGACGAAAGUCUGAUGGAGCAACGCCGCGUGAGUGAAGAAGGGUUUCGGCUCGUAAAACUCUGUUGUUAAAGAAGAACAUAUCUGAGAGUAACUGUUCAGGUAUUGACGGUAUUUAACCAGAAAGCCACGGCUAACUACGUGCCAGCAGCCGCGGUAAUACGUAGGUGGCAAGCGUUGUCCGGAUUUAUUGGGCGUAAAGCGAGCGCAGGCGGUUUUUUAAGUCUGAUGUGAAAGCCUUCGGCUCAACCGAAGAAGUGCAUCGGAAACUGGGAAACUUGAGUGCAGAAGAGGACAGUGGAACUCCAUGUGUAGCGGUGAAAUGCGUAGAUAUAUGGAAGAACACCAGUGGCGAAGGCGGCUGUCUGGUCUGUAACUGACGCUGAGGCUCGAAAGUAUGGGUAGCAAACAGGAUUAGAUACCCUGGUAGUCCAUACCGUAAACGAUGAAUGCUAAGUGUUGGAGGGUUUCCGCCCUUCAGUGCUGCAGCUAACGCAUUAAGCAUUCCGCCUGGGGAGUACGGCCGCAAGGCUGAAACUCAAAGGAAUUGACGGGGGCCCGCACAAGCGGUGGAGCAUGUGGUUUAAUUCGAAGCUACGCGAAGAACCUUACCAGGUCUUGACAUACUAUGCAAAUCUAAGAGAUUAGACGUUCCCUUCGGGGACAUGGAUACAGGUGGUGCAUGGUUGUCGUCAGCUCGUGUCGUGAGAUGUUGGGUUAAGUCCCGCAACGAGCGCAACCCUUAUUAUCAGUUGCCAGCAUUAAGUUGGGCACUCUGGUGAGACUGCCGGUGACAAACCGGAGGAAGGUGGGGAUGACGUCAAAUCAUCAUGCCCCUUAUGACCUGGGCUACACACGUGCUACAAUGGAUGGUACAACGAGUUGCGAACUCGCGAGAGUAAGCUAAUCUCUUAAAGCCAUUCUCAGUUCGGAUUGUAGGCUGCAACUCGCCUACAUGAAGUCGGAAUCGCUAGUAAUCGCGGAUCAGCAUGCCGCGGUGAAUACGUUCCCGGGCCUUGUACACACCGCCCGUCACACCAUGAGAGUUUGUAACACCCAAAGUCGGUGGGGUAACCUUUUAGGAACCAGCCGCCUAAGGUGGGACAGAUGAUUAGGGUGAAGUCGUAACAAGGGUAACC
rnacentral:rRNA from 2 species